GAUGAUCGCUGGCGGCGUGCCUAAUACAUGCAAGUCGAGCGAACAGACGAGGAGCUUGCUCCUCUGAUGUUAGCGGCGGACGGGUGAGUAACACGUGGAUAACCUACCAAUAAGACUGGGAUAAUUUCGGGAAACCGGAGCUAAUACCGGCUAACAUGAUGUACCGCAUGGUUCAACAGUGCAAGACGGUCUUGCUGUCACUAAUAGAUGAUUCCGCGCCGCAUUAGCUAGUUGGUAAGGUAACGGCUUACCAAGGCAACGAUGCGUAGCCGAUCUGAGAGGGUGAUCGGCCACACUGGAACUGAGACACGGUCCAGACUCCUACGGGAGGCAGCAGUGGGGAAUAUUCCGCAAUGGGCGCAAGCCUGACGGAGCCACGCCGCGUGAGUGAAGAAGGUCUUCGGAUCGUAAAGCCCUGUUAUUAGGAAAGAACAGAUGUAUAAGUAACUAUGGCCGUCUUGACGGUACCUAAUCAAAAAGCCACGGCUAACUACGUG
rnacentral:rRNA from 1 species